rnacentral:tRNA from 1 species
GGAAGCGUGGCCGAGCGGUUGAAGGCACCGGUCUUGAAAACCGGCGAAGGGGAAACCCUUUCGUGGGUUCGAAUCCCACCGCUUCCGCCA